UACGUAGGGGGCAAGCGUUGUCCGGAUUUAUUGGGCGUAAAGAGCGUGUAGGCGGCUUGGAAGGUCAGCUGUGAAAACUCGAGGCUCAACCUCGAGACGUCGGUUGAAACCACCUGGCUAGAGUCCGGAAGAGGAGAGUGGAAUUCCUGGUGUAGCGGUGAAAUGCGCAGAUAUCAGGAAGAACACCUAUGGCGAAGGCAGCUCUCUGGGACGGUACUGACGCUGAGACGCGAAAGCGUGGGGAGCGAACAGG
rnacentral:rRNA from 1 species